CGGGAUGUAGCGCAGCUUGGUAGCGCAUCUGCUUUGGGAGCAGAGGGUCGCAGGUUCAAAUCCUGUCAUCCCGA
rnacentral:tRNA from 43 species